rnacentral:rRNA from 1 species
AUUGAACGCUGGCGGCAUGCUUUACACAUGCAAGUCGAACGGCAGCGCGGGCUUCGGCCUGGCGGCGAGUGGCGAACGGGUGAGUAAUGCAUCUGAACGUGCCCAGUAGUGGUGGAUAGCCCGUCGAAAGCCGGAUUAAUACCGCAUACGACCUGAUGGUGAAAGCGGGGGACCGAAAGGCCUCGCGCUAUUGGAGCGGCCGAUGUCGGAUUAGCUAGUUGGUGGGGUAAAGGCUUACCAAGGCGACGAUCCGUAGCUGGUCUGAGAGGACGACCAGCCACACUGGGACUGAGACACGGACCAGACUCCUACGGGAGGCAGCAGUGGGGAAUUUUGGACAAUGGGGGCAAACAUGAUCCAGCCAUGCCGCGUGCGGGAAGAAGGCCUUCGGGUUGUAAACCGCUUUUGUUCGGGAAGAAAUCCUCUGGGCUAAUACCCCGGGGGGAUGACGGUACCGGAAGAAUAAGCACCGGCUAACUACGUG